AAGACCUUGCACUUUUGGAGCGGCCGAUGUCUGAUUAGCUAGUUGGUGGGGUAAUGGCCUACCAAAGCUUCGAUCAGUAGCUGGUCUGAGAGGACGGCCAGCCACACUGGGACUGAGACACGGCCCAGACUCCUACGGGAGGCAGCAGUGGGGAAUUUUGGACAAUGGGCGCAAGCCUGAUCCAGCCAUGCCGCGUGAGUGAAGAAGGCCUUCGGGUUGUAAAGCUCUUUCAGCCGGGAAGAAAAGGUUGCGAUUAAUAAUCGCAAUUUAUGACGGUACCGGAAGAAGAAGCACCGGCUAACUAUGUGCCAGCAGCCGCGGUAAUACGUAGGGUGCGAGCGUUAAUCGGAAUUACUGGGCGUAAAGGGUGCGCAGGCGGUUUUGUAAGUCAGAUGUGAAAUCCCCGGGCUUAACCUGGGAACU
rnacentral:rRNA from 1 species